rnacentral:lncRNA from 1 species
CUUACCUCAGUGAGAUUUAUGAAAACAACUUAUGAAAACAAUAACAUUAUAAUAUCAGGAAAUCAUACGGACUCUGUAACAUAACACAUGUCAUACUUUUAAUAUUUCAAUCAUCAGGCAACAAAUUUCCUCUUUUACCAGCCUACUAGUAUCCAUGGGGAUCCAUAGGGGUCCCCGCUACACGUGACCCAUUCACCUUAAUAAAUUAAUUCCAGGGCCGUCCCCAUACCCCGUUCGGUAUAGGCACCAAAAUCAUGAAUCUCAAUACCCCG